GACGAACGCUGGCGGCGUGCUUAACACAUGCAAGUCGAACGGAGAGGCCCUGCUUUUGUGGGGUGCUCGAGUGGCGAACGGGUGAGUAACACGUGAGUAACCUGCCCUUGACUUUGGGAUAACUUCAGGAAACUGGGGCUAAUACCGGAUAGGAGCUCCUGCUGCAUGGUGGGGGUUGGAAAGUUUCGGCGGUUGGGGAUGGACUCGCGGCUUAUCAGCUUGUUGGUGGGGUAGUGGCUUACCAAGGCUUUGACGGGUAGCCGGCCUGGGAGGGUGACCGGCCACAUUGGGACUGAGAUACGGCCCAGACUCCUACGGGAGGCAGCAGUGGGGAAUAUUGCACAAUGGGCGGAAGCCUGAUGCAGCAACGCCGCGUGCGGGAUGACGGCCUUCGGGUUGUAAACCGCUUUCGCCUGUGACGAAGCGUGAGUGACGGUAAUGGGUAAAGAAGCACCGGCUAACUACGUG
rnacentral:rRNA from 1 species